UGAACCCUGUUGCUGUUGGCCAUAUUGGUGCGUCGCAGUGGUCAAAUUCAAUGCUGAUGAACCCUGUUGCUGUUGGCCAUAUUGGUGCGUCGCAGCCGCAAUUGAUUACUUGGAACUGAUAUUUAUUGAUAAAAAUAUCAGAGGGAGUUGUGCUGGAGUUUCCAGAGCUCACAAGUUCUACAGGACGCAACCACUGGCUUGCAUUGAUAAGGGAGAUAAUGUUUCUCCAUCAGUUUUUAUCGAAGUACAAGAUAAAAUGUCCAAUUCAAACAUGGGAGAUGCAUGCAAGGACAAUAUUAGGAAUCAUAAGGCUUCAUGCAGCAAGGGAAAUGCUAAGAAUAUCACCUUUUGUCCCAACGAAAUUCUUAAUAUUUUCAUUAAGAGUAUGAACAUUGUCGGUCCUGUGGUCUCCGAUUCAAUACGUGACUGAUAUAUUUAGCUCAUAAUAUAACAGGUUCGAACAACGCUGGACAUUAAUUGUGUAUUUGGUAGCUUUGGAGCUUAAUUGUUGUAACUUAACAUAAUGGCGGUUUGUGUUGCGGGAUAUGAGACAACUGGCAGCAAGUUCAAUUGUCUCUUGAGAGAGGCCUUCCUGCCAUGAUUGGCAACUUCGUUGCAAGACAGCUUCCGUAUCCAUCAUUAUCAUUUGACAUGAUUCAAUGUGCUCACUAUGAUAUCAUUUAGGAUGAAAAAGAUGGAAUGUUCCUCAUAGAAGUUGCAAACUAUUCUUAAAAGGCUUGAACUAUCAGUGACUGGGGUUCUUGGUUUCCGUACCGUACAUCAGGCUUAUAAAUGGGAGGAGAAACUGAGGUGUUUUAUGCAGGUUUAGAUUGUGGUGAAGUUUGGAAUUAACCUGUAUACCAUAUUUGCCACUCAUAUGGAGAAUAUAUCAGAAUUAGCAACAAUCUAUCAUAACGUGAAAAUUCAUCACUUUCAUGUCGAAUUAAAAAGCAACCAUUUGGAGUUCAAGUUUCAACUUAAGGAAGGACCGAAGCAUAUCCCCCAUUAUGGGCUUCUCUUAGCCGAAGAGGCAGGAUUACCAAGUUCAGUUAUUGAGACAGCCAGAAUGAUCACAGGUUCAUUUCAUGCUUAUUAUUGGUCGGAAGUACAUACGAAGUUUGUGGUGACUCGACUGAGUUAAUCGAUAUUGACAGGUGGGAAUGUAGUUGCAAAACAUGGCAGCUGUGACAUAGCUUGGAUUUGAAUUUAGGUCAGAUUGGAUUAGUUGUGUUUGUUGAUUAUUGAGAGGAAUUCCCCAGAUUACUAACAAUCUGUCCCAAACAAUCUGAAGCUAAAACUUUAACAAUGCAAGAAGGUCGGUCUCGAGACUCCCGGUGUAAGUAUCUCUUCAUGCAUUCUUAUUUAAAUGACCUUUGGUAUUUGUUGUUGAGGUAAAAAGAUGUCUCAGUUUGCCUUGAUCUGAAAACAAUUUUAUAAAUAUGGAAAUAUGGCUGCUGCUUGCUUGGGUUUAAAUUUCUAUGAUAUAAAGUUGUUUCUAAUAAGGAUUGUAGUUUCCAGAGCAGUUAUUCAAUGUUCCUAAGUACAGGUAUGUAUGGUAAAUUAGUUUUAUAUUGAUUAUUUAUUUAAAGCUCGGUUUAAUGACUUUCUAUCCCUGACCUGCAUCUACGUAACUUCAUAAUUGUAUACAAAAAUUAAUGUUACCAACCUAAUCAAAUAGUAGUGUAUGAUUCUAAUGGUCAUUGAUAACAUUACAACUGAAGGUUCAUGUGAUUUUUUCAUUUUCAUAAGUUAGAUUGCAUAUGUCCCAGUUGAAAUUUGUUUCACUAUGUUUCUUAUCACAGUUUCAUUGGAAAUAAGUUGAAUUGUGGUGUGGGUUAUCAACAUCUUUGCUUAUCUGAUAAUGCAAAUGAAGGUUACAUUUUUUUCCCUAACCCUCCACCUACCCACAAGCAAAAUGCAACAGGUAGAAAACGAAUUUUCUUUUACUUGGCAGGUUCUUCACAUAAAUUUUUUUUGGUAGCGUUUUGUUUUACUGGUGCAAAGGGUACAAGCGUCAAGUUUUUGAAGAUGUUCCAGGUACCUACUCGUCAACCUUGUGUUGCAUUAGGAAUGAUAGCUUCAAUUACACAGUCACCGGCUGCUUGAAAAGAAAAACCAGUACUAUAUGUAGAAUAAAUUAAAGAAAGAAAAUUCAUUGUGGAUUAGGGCCAUGGUUU